rnacentral:lncRNA from 1 species
ACCAGGGUUUUCGAUAUCACAAACUAGUCAAAACAUUUACUAAAUUUUAUCAUCGGUAUAAGGACAUCAUUCGUAAAUAUAGCUCAACAUGCAGACUUCUUAUACGUUCAGGUAUUUCACAUCCAAUUUUUAUGGAAAUAUUCUUUAUAAAGCACAAAGGUGUCAGUAUUCACCUCAAAAACUAACAAAACCUUUGAAUAGACUUAUUAAGAAGGGAUAUAAUUACGAUACUGUUGUCAGGUCAUUAAAGAUUGCAUAUUUUGGCGUUAAUAUUGAUUCACUUAUAGGGUCUUUGUAUCGGAACUAAACACAUUUAUUCAAAAACCAGUUGUUGGCAUGAC